UCCGAUUGAUCCCGUCGGACCCCACUGCUAUCGAGAUGGGACUAAGGUAUGCUAGUCGAACGACCAGAACUAUGUCUGGAAGUGGCACACUGCUCAGUGACACGUAGCUAACCUACCCUUAGGACGUGGAUACCCCCGAGAAAUUGGGGUUAAUCCGCGAUAGAUGUAAUGUCCUGGAAUGGUAUUACGUCUAAAGGUAUUCCAUACAUGUUUGAAAUAUGCCUAAGGAUGGGGCUGCGGCCGAUCAGGCUGUUGGUGAGGUAAUGGCUCACCAAACCUUUGACCGGUACGGGCCAUGAGAGUGGUAGCCCGGAGAUGGACACUGAGACAAGGGUCCAGGCCCUAAGGGGCGCAGCAACCGCGAAACCUCCACAAUGCACUCACGUGCGAUGGGGCUAUCUCGAGUGCCACCUGAUGAAGGUGGCUUUUCCUUGGUCUUCAAAGCCUUGGGAAUAAGAGGGGGCAAGACUGGUGUCAGCCGCCGCGGUAACACCAGCCCCUCGAGUGGUGGGGAUGAUUAUUUGGCCUAAAGCGUCCGUAGCCGGCCGAGCAAGUCUUCCGUUAAAUCCAGCGUCUCAAGCGUUGGACCGCGGGAGAUACUACAUGGCUAGAGAGUGGGAGAGGUCAGCGGUAUUCUGGGGGUAGGGGCGAAAUCCUUUGAUCCCCGGAGGACCACCAGUGGCGAAGGCUGCUGACUAGAACUCGUCUGACGGUCAGGGACGAAAGCUGGGGUAGCGAACCGGAUUAGAUACCCGGGUAGUCCCAGCCGUAAACGAUGCAUGCUAGGUGUUGGGUUGGCCACGAGCCACCCCAGUGCCGCAGGGAAGCCGUUAAGCAUGCCGCCUGGGAAGUACGAUCGCAAGAUUGAAACUUAGAGGAAUUGGCGGGGGAGCACCACCAGGCGUGAAGCCUGCGGUUUAAUUGGAGUCAACGCCGGGAACCUUACCGGGAGCGACAGCAGAAUGAAGGCCAGAUUGAAGAUCUUGCCAGACGAGCUGAGAGGAGGUGCAUGGCCGUCGCCAGUUCGUGCCGUGAGGUGUUCUCUUAUGUGAGAUAACGAACGAGACCCGUGCCACAUGUUGCCACCAGUAUCUAAAGGAUAGCUGAGCACUCUUGUGGGACCGCAGCCGAUAAGGCUGAGGAAGGUACGGGCAACGGCAGGUCAGUAUGCCCCGAAUCUCCCGGGCCACACGCGGGCUGCAAUGGUAUAGACAGAGUGCUGCCACCCCGAAAGGGGGAGCCAAUCCCUAAACUGUACCUCAGUUGGGAUCGAGGGUUGCAACCCACCCUCGUGAACAUGGAAUGCCUAGUAACCGCCAGUCAUCAUCUGGCGGUGAAUACGUCCCUGCUCCUUGCACACACUGCCCGUCGAACCACCCGAAUGAGGUUUGGGUGAGGAAUGGUCGAAUGUUGGCCGUUUCGAACCUGGGCCUCGUAAGGAGGGUUAAGUCGUAACAAGGUG
rnacentral:rRNA from 1 species